GGGGAAUUUUGGACAAUGGGGGCAACCCUGAUCCAGCAAUGCCGCGUGAGUGAAGAAGGCCUUCGGGUUGUAAAGCUCUUUUGUCAGGGAAGAAACGACUCCUUCUAAUACAGGGGGUUAAUGACGGUACCUGAAGAAUAAGCACCGGCUAACUACGUGCCAGCAGCCGCGGUAAUACGUAGGUGGCAAGCGUUGUCCGGAUUUAUUGGGUUUAAAGGGUGCGUAGGCGGUCUUAUAAGUCAGUGCUGAAAUAUCUCGGCUUAACCGAGAGGGUGGCAUUGAUACUGUAGGACUUGAGUAAAGUUGAGGUUGGCGGAAUUGACGGUGUAGCGGUGAAAUGCUUAGAUAUCGUCAAGAACACCUAUAGUGAAGACAGCUAACUAAGCUUUAACUGACGCUGAGGCACGAAAGUGUGGGGAUCAAAC
rnacentral:rRNA from 1 species